GGGGUUGUGGCUCAGUGAUAGAGCACUUGCCUAGCAUGUGAGGCACUGGGUUCAAUUCCCAAUACCACA
rnacentral:tRNA from 1 species